rnacentral:lncRNA from 1 species
GCGUGAGUGGAAAGGGUAAAGUGAGGCUGCUUGGCGUGGUUGCGGCCACCCUGUUUGGGGUUUUUCGUUUAUUUAUGCCGUUAUGAUCUCUAGCCUAAAGAACGCUUGCAGAGGACUGACCGCAAAGUUGUUGUGUUCUUAAUUCUAGGCUCGCCCACGCGCCGGACGCUUCGUCUCGUUCGCCGGAUGCGAGUUCGGUUCAGCCUCGAGCUUGUGAGUGGGUUGGAAAAAAAUUGUGAGUGGGUUGUAAGCAGGCCUGGAACUGCACAUCUUCCCAAAGAUGGAGCCUCUUGCAUUGAAACCGAAGUGCAAAUACAAAUGGGAAUGGAUUGAGUUCGCAAACACUGAAGAUGAAUACAAAAUUGAACAGGAGCACUUCAUCUAGGAUGCUUUAAAAUCAAGUCCUGCUGGCUAAAACCAAAACUCCUGAUACUUUCAUUGCACUAAGCUUAAGAUUCUCAAAAGAAGCAAACAAACAAGAAGCAAGAUUAAGAAAGUUUAAAUACAUAAUUCAUUAUAAUACAAGGUACAGUUUUAAGAAUUAAGGACCUGAGAUAUGCAUGAAAUAAUUUUAGAAUGAAUCAAUGUUUGAUCCGCUGAAUUUUAUCACAAGAGUUCUGCUAUUUUGGUGAAUGAACUAAUGAAACAAGUGCCAUAUGAUUAAAGUGUGGGACUCCUUCCGUGGAGGACAGGAGUAUAAAUAGAUCGAAGAAGGGAUUCUACAAAUUAGUAGAGGUUAGGUCCAUCGCUCACUAAGGAAUAACACUAUGGCCUCAGCGUAACAUGUAGCUCCGCAAAUCUGUUAACUGGUUGCUGCUAGAAGCAAGACUAGCAGACCAGAGAGAGAAGCUUUUUGUGAAAGCUUUGCUUUCUGUACCCUUUCGGUAGCUUUUGCUACUAAAAACAGGACAGUGGGCGAGGUGUCUGUGCAGAGGCCCAUCACAAAAAGUGAAGUUGUCAUAAAUAGUCUCUAUUUGUCAGCUCUGUGUCCCUUAACAUGAAAAAGGUCAUUUGACUAAGACAGUUUGGUAGUAACUCUAGUAUUGCAGGAUUGAAGAAGUGAAAGGUUUUUUGGGGGUUUUGCUAAUGAAAGCCAAAAAAAUGUAUAUGCUUCAGUUUAAAUGAGUGACAUUUGGCAGGUCUGAGUUAUGCAGCUGGAGGAGCUCUGACAUUCUCGGACUCCUAGAUAUGGACUAGUAAUUACCUCCGGUCUGUAACUAUUUUUUGCCAGGCAAAACGCAUAAUUUGGUGAAGUUUGUUAUAAGCUAUGCUUUACUUUGAAAACCGCAACAAUCCUUUGUCCUCUGAGGAAUGUGGAACUGCGUUUCUGUCC